rnacentral:rRNA from 1 species
ACUCCUACGGGAGGCAGCAGUGGGGAAUAUUGCACAAUGGGCGCAAGCCUGAUGCAGCCAUGCCGCGUGUGUGAAGAAGGCCUUCGGUUGUAAAGCACUUUCAGUCGUGAGGAAGGUAGUGUAGUUAAUAGCUGCAUUAUUUGACGUUAGCGACAGAAGAAGCACCGGCUAACUCCGUGCCAGCAGCCGCGGUAAUACGGAGGGUGCGAGCGUUAAUCGGAAUUACUGGGGCGUAAAGCGCAUGCAGGUGGUUUGUUAAGUCAGAUGUGAAAGCCCGGGGCUCAACCUCGGAAUAGCAUUUGAAACUGGCAGACUAGAGUACUGUAGAGGGGGUAGAAUUUCAGGUGUAGCGGUGAAAUGCGUAGAGAUCUGAAGGAAUACCGGUGGCGAAGGCGGCCCCCUGGACAGAUACUGACACUCAGAUGCGAAAGCGUGGGGAGCAAACAGGAUUA